AAUCAACGCUGGCGGCGUGCCUCAGACAUGCAAGUCGAACGAUUAAAGCUCUCUUCGGAGAGUGUAUAGAGUGGCGCACGGGUGAGUAACACGUAAGUAAUCUACCUUUGAGUGGGGAAUAACCCGGGGAAACCCGAGCUAAUACCGCAUAAUGCAGCGGCAUCGCAAGAUGACAGUUGUUAAAGGAGCAAUCCGCUUAAAGAGGAGCUUGCGGCAGAUUAGCUAGUUGGUAAGGUAAUGGCUUACCAAGGCUACGAUCUGUAUCCGGUCUAAGAGGACGGUCGGACACACUGACACUGAAUAACGGGUCAGACUCCUACGGGAGGCAGCAGUCGGGAAUUUUGGGCAAUGGGCGAAAGCCUGACCCAGCAACGCCGCGUGAAGGAUGAAGUAUUUCGGUAUGUAAACUUCGAAAGAAUAGGAAGAAUAAAUGACGGUACUAUUUAUAAGGUCCGGCUAACUACGUGCCAGCAGCCGCAGUAAG
rnacentral:rRNA from 1 species